rnacentral:rRNA from 1 species
AUUGAACGCUGGCGGCAGGCCUAACACAUGCAAGUCGAACGAGUGGCGGACGGGUGAGUAAUGUCUGGGAAACUGCCUGAUGGAGGGGGAUAACUACUGGAAACGGUAGCUAAUACCGCAUACCAUCGGAUGUGCCCAGAUGUGUUUAUCUAGUAGGUGGGGUAAAGGCUCACCUAGGCGACGAUCCCUAGCUUGUCUGAGAGGAUGACCAGCCACACUGGAACUGGGACACGGGCCAGACUCCUACGUGAGGCAGCAGUGGGGAAUAUUGCACAAUGGGCGCAAACCUGAUGCAGCCAUGCCGCGUGUAUGAUGAAGGCCUUCGGGUUGUAAAGUACUUUCAGCGGGGAGGCGUUACCCGCAGAGGAAGCACCGGCUAACUCCGUGCCAGCAGCCGCGGUAAUUC